rnacentral:rRNA from 1 species
AGUGAACGCUGGCGGUAGGCCUAACACAUGCAAGUCGAACGGCAGCACAGUAAGAGCUUGCUCUUACGGGUGGCGAGUGGCGGACGGGUGAGGAAUACAUCGGAAUCUACUUUUUCGUGGGGGAUAACGUAGGGAAACUUACGCUAAUACCGCAUACGACCUACGGGUGAAAGCAGGGGAUCUUCGGACCUUGCGCGAUUGAAUGAGCCGAUGUCGGAUUAGCUAGUUGGCGGGGUAAAGGCCCACCAAGGCGACGAUCCGUAGCAGGUCUGAGAGGAUGAUCAGCCACACUGGAACUGAGACACGGUCCAGACUCCUACGGGAGGCAGCAGUGGGGAAUAUUGGACAAUGGGCGCAAGCCUGAUCCAGCCAUACCGCGUGGGUGAAGAAGGCCUUCGGGCUGUAAAGCCCUUUUGUUGGGAAAGAAAAGCAGCAGGUUAAUACCCCGCUGUUCUGACGGUACCCAAAGAAUAAGCACCGGCUAACUUCGUG